UACGUAGGAGGCGAGCGUUGUCCGGAGUUACUGGGCGUAAAGGGUCUGUAGGCGGUCACGCGCGUUUGGGGUGACAGUUGUCGGCUUAACUGACAAAGUGCUUCGAAAACGGCGUGACUUGAGGACUUGAGAGGAAAGCGGAAUUCCGGGUGGAGUGGUGAAAUGCGUAGAGAUCCGGAGGAACACCGAUGGCGUAGGCAGCUUUCUGGCAAGGAACUGACGCUGAGGGACGAAAGCCAGGGGAGCAAACGGG
rnacentral:rRNA from 1 species